UGCUUUGACAAAAAAAGUCCAUAAAAAUCACAAUUUUCCGCCGAUGGGAAUUGGACAUUUUUUCUUUCAAAGUUAGUCCCACAAGGCUUUGAAAUGCUAAUCAUCACUGAAAACUUAAAUGCAAAUUUAACGCGAAUUUCUUCUCGUUCAACAUGUUGAAGGCAUAGGAGCUUAAAUCUCUUUAAAUGAACACAAAUUUAUGUAAAUUUUGCUACAUAACAGUUCAGGGCCUUUUUUAACAUACAAGCUGGGGGGCAUUUGUCCCCCCUUGUGCCCCCCCACGAAAUCACAUUUUGCCCCCCCAGGAAAAGUCCCUUUUUCCUAAAAUUAUACAAACAAUCCAGCGAAGAUUAACAAAUAGAUAAACGGAAAGUAAGUUUUAGGCUUUAUCCUUUGUUCUUGUUUCACAAAAUCGAUUUAAAUUGUUACUUUUUUUACCACUAAGCCAUGAUAAAUUAUUGUUAAUAUUUUUUUUUUAUUUUUUGGAUGCUCAGAAUGCAGGAAAUAGCAUUUCACGGUUUCAAAUUUCAAAAAUUUUCUUGGGAUUAUCCCUCUAAUAAGUAAUGAUAAAUUACAGUUAAUAUUCUUUUUUACUUUUUGUGCAUUUUUCCAUCUUUUAUUUCAAAUACAACUAUAGUUAGCAUAAAUUUUAGAGCAAAUUUGGAUGCUCAGAAUGCAGGAAAUGGCAUUUCCUUGGUUCAAAUUUCAAAAAUUUUCUGGGGGAGUACACUCCCACACACCUGACCAUUGCUAUCCUCCUCUAAUAUGUAAUGAUAAAUGAUGGUUAAUUUUUUUUUAACUUUUUGUGCGUUUCUUCCUUUAUUUAUUUCAAAUACAAGUAUAGUUAGGAUAAAUUUUGGAGCAAAUUUGGAUGCUCAGAAUGCAGGAAAUGACAUUUCCGGGAGUCAAAUUUCAAAAAUUUUCUGGGGGAGUACACCCCCACCAGACCCCCCAUUCAUGCGUGGUAUAUUUGCCACACACAUGGCUUUAAGCCAUUGCUAUCCCCCUCUAAUAUAUUAUCUCACAGAAAGGUCCCUUUUUAAAAAAUGCCCCCCCACUGGAAGAUCCUUAAAAAAGGCCCUGUAACAGUUUGUUGAUUAACUAAAUUUGCAUUAUCUUUUGUUUGUACGUCUGUCGUAAAAGACGAGGACCAGGUUUGUUUGGUUGAAUAUUAUUGUGUAUAAAACUAUUACAAAGCGUUGUGUUUCGAGUUUUUCUAAAACUAUAUAAAAGUGCGCCAAAACAACUGUCAUGUGACGAGGCACAGCUAACCCAAAACUAGCCUAGAAAUAUGAAUGUUAAUGAUCUACUUUAAAGAUAAAGAUAGGUUUAAAGUUAGUAAUCUAAUCUAGCAUUAUUCAACAUCCUCCGGGGCCGGGGAAAGUUCUUCGACCCAUUUUGAAAUUUUGUUUCUUGCUCUUAGAGCCGCCGCUCUCUUUGGUCGUGAUGAAUUGUUUUCAGCAAUUGUUCGCGUGUCGGUUUCUUCCGCGCCAUUCGAU